GAAUCAUAAGCGGGUGCGCAUUCUAACGUUGUUUCGGCCUUCACCUUGAACUUGACAGAAUUCGGUAAAAAAAAUGGCACGUCCACUGACCAAAUGUGCCCGUCCCUUAAGAUAUUUAACAGAAUCGGGAAACAUACUCCGACCGGGUGAAAUAAAAAGGGUAACAUGUGUGGGAUGUUUACAGUUAUCCAAGAACAUUGAAAGAAGGCAGGUAGUGUCAGCAGAAACUGCGAGAUCCUUCAUAACUUUACCUAAUCUCCCAUUUAGUGGAAGUGGGAGUAAAAAGAAAGAAUAUUCUGAAAGAAGGUUGCUGGGGUAUACAAUGGAACAGAUGUAUGACAUUGUGGCAGAAGUUGAUAAAUAUAACAAGUUUGUACCAUGGUGCACUCAGUCAACCAUAACAAAUGCAACACCAGAAAAGAUUGACUGUAAAUUGCAGAUUGGUUUCCCUCCAGUAGUUGAAAGAUACACUUCCGUAGUGACGUUGAAAAAGCCAAGUUUAGUGCAUUCUGUGUGUAAAGAUGGCAAGUUGUUUAAUCACCUCGUAACAACAUGGAAGUUUAGUCCGGGAAUGCCUGACAACCCAAAAACUUGCAUGCUGGAUUUUUCGGUUUCUUUCGAGUUUAAGUCACAGUUGCAUUCACAAUUAGCACAUGUAUUUUUCGACGAGGUUGUGCGUCAGAUGGUCAAUGCAUUUUUAAAGCGAGCUAAGAAACUUCAUGGCCCAGCUUCUAUAAAAGCACAAAAGCCCAAAAUUCUUGUCUGCAAUUCUUGAUGAAAAUGGAAAAUUAGGGACACAGAAUUAUAGGGAUGUCUAAUCAGAAUUUGUUAGUGCUGCCCAGAGGACUAUUAUCUUCUUUUGAAUCUAGAAGAUUCAUAUUUUGUUUUUACAAACAUGUACCAUGUUGAAAUUUGUUUUCAACAUAAGAUGAUUGUUAAUAAGUCUUUAGCCAAGGCUUGUGAUAUUUUUGUUGUUAAAGUUUAAUCAAAGACCACUUGAUUGUUUGCAGCCACUUUAAGUGAAUGAUUUUUUUUUGAACAUGCAAGUCGCUAAGUCAGCUGUCAGUCUAAAAUACAACUUUAUUAUUAUCUGGAAAAAUCUUCAAUGAAAUACAUUUAUCAUUUACCCUCUAAAUCUCUGUAAUAGACAUGUCUUGCUUCUUUGUGUUUUUUUAAUAUGCAUUGUUAGUUUUUAGGAGUUUAGUAUGAAAUUUAAAAACUAAGCAGACCGCAGUUUAUAGCCUUGACAUAUUGAUCAGAAUUUCAGACUGGCCUGACAAAGACCUUGUAAGCGGCAUUGUUGAUGUUUGUAAGACAAAUUCUGAUUAGGUAUCCCUCUUGUUAUUUAGAUUAGCUUAAAAAUCUGACCAUGUUUAUACUGUUUUUGUUACCUAGGUAUUUGAUAUUGUUAAAGACUCUCGUUUUGAUACCGGUACAUUUUACUACACGCUUAAUGAUUUUUAAAAUGUAAUUGUAUUUACUGUAUUUUUAUAAAUUCAUGUGACAUGAUUUGUUUUCUGUGCAGUAUAAAUUAUGUGAUAAUUUUUGUAAACUGUGCAUAAAAAUAAUAUGACUCUUAUUUCGACAGCAGUAUAGAUACUGUGACAAAAUUUUCUUACAAAGUAAAGAGAUCUACCCUAAUUGUAAUAUGUAGUGGAAAUAAUUAUGACAAUAUUUUUAUAAGCAGAAUAUAUACUGUAACAAUUUGUUUAGAAUGUUGCAUACUUUUUCAGCGUUGUAAAUUUUGUGACAUUUAUUUUUCUAUGCUAAACUGCUUCCAGAUUUGUCUAAAAAGUACAACAUGAAAUUCCGAUAUUUUUUUCUCAGCAGUAUAAUUAAUAACACAGUUUUAGUUGUUUUUUUUUUCUGAGCAGUAUAAAUGAUGUGACAAAUCUUUUCUGUGCAGAAUGAAAGCUGUUGAACAGUUUCUAUAGUACUCUGCAAAAUAUUUUAGCAGUAUGUAAAAAAUACUAUUUACGAAUAUGAUAAUUAUAUACGAAUAAUGAUAAUUUUGUUAAAUAUGUGGUAACAUAGACGGAAAAGCUGAUAAAGUUGGUAGAAAAGUUCUGUGGAAAAAAAUUUACCACACAAUCAGAAUUUCCAAUCUAAAAAUAUUUUGUUGUCAUAUUUCAGAGAAGAAAUUUGCUCGUGAAGGCCUGUUUCUAUUUUUCUUAGAGAUCUUAAAUUAAAAUGUUAUUUGAGAUCAAACAUUCAUUUUAUGUGAAAUUAAAAGUAAACGAAUUUUCUUCAAGAAGGAAACUGGAAGUCUUUGUUUUUUCUGUUGUUGUGAAAGGACACCUGAAAUAAAAAUGAAUUAUUUUUACUGUUAGUGUGAUAUUAAGGUAUUUUGGUAUUUAUGUGGUCAAUUUGUGUAUUUAUGGAUCGUAUUUUUAAUCUGUGGACAAUAGCUAAGGUCUUACAUUGUAUGUAAUCCAAGCUUUCUACUUGUUUUUCAUGUGAAAUGUUUCCAAUAAAGACCAGGCCCCGAGGUUAUAGACCUGUCUCAAAUCUCUGGAUUUGCAUUGGUCAGUGCACAGACUAUGCUGGUUUCUGACCAAUCAAAUGCCUGAGAUCUGAGUUUGAGCUUGAACAUUUCUUAUAUCCUCGGACCCUGGUAAUCUUCUAAAAUGUAUGAAAUGAACAUAUUUGUAUCUACUAUUUAUGUCUUGUAAAUACAUUUUAUUCAUAUUUUUGAGGUCAAAUCCACUUUGACCUUUAUGUUGCCAUAAUUUUUAAUUAUUUCAAUUUUAGAUAGGAUAUGUAGUGUGAUUAUCUUACACACUUUGGCUUUUAUGUUGUUAGAAAUUGUGUUUUCAAGUUUUUUUUUCAAGCAUUUUUAUAUCUCAUUAACAACUGAAGGCAUUUUCUUUUAAGCAGCAGGCCUCUAGAUUCAUGCUAAUUUUCAUGAAAAGUAAAAUAUUGUGGAGUGAAAAGUGAAAGGAUUUUACGCAUUGCUAUCAGUACUAACAAUCUACAUAAAUUACCAAAAAGAGGUCAAAAUAUGCAAAAAUAGCCCAUACUGUGUAAGUCACAUUGUAAGAAAAUGGUGAUAAAUAAUGCAAAAUAAGUCAUUAAUUGACAUAACAUAUAAAUUAUUACUUGAAUGUUUUUACUUUUCUUAAAAUCUUAGUGCAUUUUUUUCAAGUUUGAUUUUUUUGGACAUAUUUUGGCUCAUCUGGAGGCAUGCAGUUUUGCAACUUCACAUUUGUCUUCAGAAUCAUAAAAGUCAUUCACUGUCCAAGAUGGUAAACCUACAACACUCUCAUUUAUUUUAUAGGAUGACUCCCCUUUUUUAACUUAGACAUUAAGGUCUGGCAUGCAAUGUCUGUAUCCAGAACCGCUAGAAGUGACCAUUUUGAUCAUAACAAUUGUUUUAAGGGUCAUAUUUGUAAAUCACUUACCAAAUUCUAUAAAUUUAACACUGAUUUGAACUGAAUAAAUCUGGAAAAAUUCUUGGCUAUUGUUUUGAGUACCUUUUCUGUCUCCAGAAUCAGGGACAGCGUUCAUUUGAAAGUUACAUAGUCUUUGUUGCCAUGAUUGUAGGUCACUAACACAACAAUUACUCUAGCUAACGUUUCAUCUGGAUUGUUACCCUUUGUGAACAUUUUAAAAAUCCUGCAAGACUUUAAUUUGACGAUCAAGCAGUAUGAAUAAUACAAGUGCACACAGUGUGUUUUAAAGCUCUUGUAAGUUGUUGCUGAGGUUUGCUUUAGUUCUAAGCACUUAUUUAUUUACAUGGAAACUUUAUUUAGAUUUUUAGUGCACAAUUUGUUUUGUUUAAAUUUAUCUUUUAUCGGCUAUAUUUUUUUUUGGAAACAAAAAUCUUAAAGCACCACAUGGUGACAUGCAGCUUAUUUGAGGAAAAUAUGAAUUCUAAGUUAUGCUGUGCCUGAGAAAGCUAUUUUUAGAGCUGAUGAAAAUUUUUUAGAUCAGUUACCUCAUUUUGUUUUUACAAAUAAUUAUACAUUAUAAUAUUUUGUUAUUAUUUUGUUUUACUUAAUAUUUUCAUUUAGUGCUUGUUUUCUGCUUUACCUAGGUAUUAUUGAUACUGUAUAUGAAAUAAAAUUGCAAAAACUUUGUAACAUAGUUUGUGUAAUACAUUUAUCAUUUCCCCAUAGCAACUGAGGUGUGCAUUGCUUGAUAGCAUACAUGAGUGACAUUACAGUGUCAGUCUUUUACUGCUCUUAUUUUGAUUCUUAAUUAGAUAACAUACAUGUCAAAAUGGUUGAAAGUUUUGUUGUUGAUUUUACAUAUAAACAAAAACUCAUGGCUCUUAAGGACAUAAAAGUGAACAAACAAACAAACAAUACAACAAUUAUAAUACAAACAUGGCAUAGAAGUAUAUAAGGAAGAUGACUUAGUGAAAUUUCAGCAUUAUUGCUUUAACAAACAUUGCUAGAUUUAAGUAUUUAUGUUAUCACUACACAUUAAAGCCUGAAAAUUUAAAAUACUAGGAAACCUUGAAUAGUAAUUACUGAUAUACUUGUGUGUUUCAUGAGUAAAAUAACUACAUUUAAAAAUAAAGUGAAAUUCAUCACCUAUUUUUUGCUGGUUACAAAGUGAGCAGGUUCUAUUUGUAUCUUGGUGUUACCUGCAUUUGGUUGAAAUAGUGCACUGAUAUAAGAUUCAAGUGACUCCAUCUCUUAGUAAAGUCUGACAACUUUAAGUGUUAAUAUUGACUUUGAGAUUUCAAGCAAAUCACAUAUGUGGUCAGAUUGCUUUACCUACAAUUUCUAGCUUGAUAUAAUAAUGCUGGUAAAGUUAAGAGUUUAAACCAUGGAAAUGGCACCUUUACAAUAUACUGUAAACCGUAAGUUAUGGAUAGUUCAAUACAUUGUUGCAAAAGUAAAUUACAGACAUUAUAUUUUUGAAAAAAAAAACAACAGAUAAUAUCUUACUCAAAAGCACUGCAAAUCAAGUGUGCAUUUAAUUAUUAUGUACUGACUACAGACUUUCAAGGUUUCAAGCAAGUCGCAUGUGUGUUCAGUUUGCUUAGGUUACCCUGUCGUGGUUUAAUUAAUACUGGAAUACAAUAUAGUUAUUGUUUUAAACCAUGGAAAUAGCAUGUAAACUGUAUGCCUGAAGUUAUGAAUAGUUCAUUAGAUAAAUGAUUUAAGAGUAAACUGUGAGAAAGCUAUACAACUAGCUUACAGAACCUCAGUGGUUCUACUCAAGUGCUGGUUAGUGCUUGAAAUACUGCUGUGGUCUUCCUCCAUCAGUAAAGCAGGAAAGUCACCAUAUGACUUAUACUGUUGAAGCCACAUAAAACCCAACCAAAAAAAAAAUAUGAGUAAAUUAUAAAUGGCAGUUUGCUUGUAAGAUAUGAAGCACUAUGUAAAUACUGGUUCAAAAUGAAUUAUUUUUAGUUAACCACUACUAACUUAUAAUACCAAUCUCAAUAAAUGAGAUAAUUGGUAUAUCUGAAUAUAUGCCCAAUAAUGCACACAUUUCAUUUGUUGUCAAAAUGGAAAGAAUUAAAACAAAACAAAAUAACAUUUAGAAUGGGACUUUGACUUCAGUACUGUAUAUGUUUUUAUCAAGCUAUUUAAUUUUUUAACUGGCCAUCUCGGAGUAUAGGGAGAGACACGUUGACUUCUAUGCAAAAUGCUUCUAUUGGUUUUUGUUAAUUAUUUAUAUUUUUGCAAAUGGCUUUGGAUGGUGCAUUAUAGUAAAUAGUAAAAUACUAUUUUAAAGUGAUAUUUUUCUCUUAUUUAUUGAUAGCCUUAUUUUUGUGUUUUAUUUCAUUUUAUUGCAUUUUAUCAUAUUUUUUCUUUUCUCAUUUCCUUAUAAAAUAACAUGUAUCUUGUGACAAUAGGAAAAAAGACAAUGAUUCUUUCUUUGUUCUAAUUUUUAUUAUGAUUGAAAAGAAACAACUAGUUUAAAAUGUAUUUAAUCAUUUAAAUGAUGUAAAAUGUAUGUGUUUUUUUUGUUAUUGAUCCAGUUUAUUAAGUGUUAACUGUAUAAUGUUUGUUAUUUAUGCAUUAAUAUAUUGUCUUUUGUGUUUUAUGCUUUUAUGUAGAAUCAUUUGGAUAAUUUGCAUUUGAGAUUAAAGCAUUUGAUGUUUUAUGCUUAUGUAUAUCAAAGCGUGUGUUAUAUGCUUUUAUGUAUAACUUUUUUGUGUUAUAUGCAUUUGUGUAUCAACUUUUAAUAUGAUAUGAUGAUAUGUAUAAACAUCGUAUUACAAGCAUUUUGAGCUUAUCUGUUUUUGAAGAAAAAGUUGAACUUUUCCUAAUGAUUAUUGCGGCAUAACUGUUGUGGUCGUCGCUUAAAAACUUAAUGAAGCCCAUUAUUCAAAUAUUUUAAAAGUUAUCAGCAUGAAACCUUUUGCCCUGUUUCAGCUUAUCAUGACAAGGUGCAGUUGUAAGACAAUGGUAAAAUCAAUGUUAAACAAGGUUUAGUUCCAUCUGAUUAGUCUAGUACAGUGUGUGAUAGAUAUAGGGACAUCAGAUUCAUGAGUUUUGUAUCUUUGCUGAGGAAAAUAUUAUUUUCUGUGACGAUUUGUUUUAUUGUUUGAUGACAGUAUAUCUUGUCAGCUAUUUUUCUUCCAAGGCUUUGUAUCCCCCACUUGGGAGAAACAUAUAAAUGUGCUUUUGUUCCUCUGUUACACCAUCACACUGUCAUGCUGGCCUUAUUUAGACUGACAAAACAGUGGAAUGUUGGGACAGGGCAUCCAUGACCUAUGGACACAUUUCUAAGUAACAAAUGAUUUAUAUCAUGAAUUUGGCAGUAGAUCUAAAAAAAAAUUAAGAAAAAAAAACAGGUUAGUCACUCAUUAAUAAAUACAGAACAAUUUGUAGGUGACAAGAUGUUAAUUUGAAACUGACAUGUUGUUGUCAUUUAAGAAAAAUAUGAGAAUACAUGUACAUUGUAUAUGUUAUGAUACUGUGUAAUAUGUCAUCACUGAUUACUGUGUAAUCAUAUUUUAGGCAUUGUGUAGCUAAUUGUAACACACAAAUUUUUAUUACUGAAAGAUACAUGUAUCUGAGAAGAAAAUGUGUUAUAAUAAAACUCAAAAAUAGU